rnacentral:rRNA from 1 species
UAAGCGAAUAGUGAAUCUGGUGGCUCAACCAUAACCCAUUGUUCGAACUGCUUGUCUCGAGAAUGGUAGAGGUAGCUGGAAUUUCUUGUGUAGGAGUGAAAUCCGUAGAUAUAAGAAGGAACACCAAUGGCGUAGGCAGGCUACUGGACCAUUUCUGACGCUGAGGCACGAAAGCGUGGGGAGCGAACCGGAUUAGAUACCCGGGUAGUCCACGCCGUAAACGAUGGAUACUA